rnacentral:rRNA from 1 species
GUUAUCCGGAUUUACUGGGUGUAAAGGGCGUGUAGGCGGUCUUGCAAGUCGGAAGUGAAAUUCCCGGGCUUAACCCGGGCGCUGCUCCCGAAACUGCGAGACUUGAGUACUGCAGAGGGGGGUGGAAUUCCACGUGUAGCAGUGAAAUGCGUAGAGAUGUGGAGGAACACCGAUGGCGAAGGCAGCCCCCUGGGCCGAUACUGACGCUCAUGCACGAAAGCGUGGGUAGCAAACAGGAUUAGAUACCCUGGUAGUCCACGCCCUAAACGAUGUCAACUAGGUGUUGGGAGGGUAAAACCUUUUAGUACCGGAGCUAACGCGUGAAGUUGACCGCCUGGGGAGUACGGCCGCAAGGUUAAAACUCAAAGGAAUUGACGGGGACCCGCACAAGCGGUGGAUGAUGUGGAUUAAUUCGAUGCAACGCGAAAAACCUUACCUACCCUUGACAUGUCCAGAAGCUCUUAGAGAUUUGAGUGUGCCCGAAAGGGAGCUGGAACACAGGUGCUGCAUGGCUGUCGUCAGCUCGUGUCGUGAGAUGUUGGGUUAAGUCCCGCAACGAGCGCAACCCUUGUCGUUAAUUGCCAUCAUUUAGUUGGGCACUUUAACGAGACUGCCGGUGACAAACCGGAGGAAGGUGGGGAUGACGUCAAGUCCUCAUGGCCCUUAUGGGUAGGGCUUCACACGUCAUACAAUGGUCGGUACAGAGGGUUGCCAGGCCGCGAGGUGGAGCCAAUCCCAGAAAGCCGAUCGUAGUCCGGAUUGCAGGCUGCAACUCGCCUGCAUGAAGUCGGAAUCGCUAGUAAUCGCGGACCAGCAUGUCGCGGUGAAUACGUUCCCGGGUCUUGCACACACCGCCCGU